rnacentral:rRNA from 1 species
CACGUAGGCGGGUCGUUAAGUCAGGGGUGAAAUCCCGGAGCUCAACUCCGGAACUGCCUUUGAUACUGGCGAUCUAGAGAUCGGAAGAGGUUAGUGGAAUUCCCAGUGUAGAGGUGAAAUUCGUAGAUAUUGGGAAGAACACCAGUGGCGAAGGCGGCUAACUGGUCCGAUACUGACGCUGAGGUGCGAAAGCGUGGGGAGCAAACA